rnacentral:rRNA from 1 species
UCUUCCACAAUGGACGAAAGUCUGAUGGAGCAAUGCCAUGUGAACGAUGAAGGUCAUAAAGAUCGUAAAGUUCUUUUAGGGGGGAAAACUCUGAUGGUACCUCCUGAAUAAGUGACAGCAAACUAUGUGCCAGCAGCUGCGGUAAUACAUAGGUCGCGAGCGUUAUUCGGAUUUAUUGGGCGUAAAGCAAGCGCAGGCGGAUUGAUAAGUUCUGUAUUAAAAGCAGCUGCUCAACAGUUGUUUGUACCGAAUACUGUCAGUCUAGAAUUUGGUAGGAAGUUUUGGAAUUAAACAUGGAGCGGUGGAAUGUGUAGAUAUGUUUAAGAACACCAGAGGCGAAGGCGAAAACUUAGGCCAUAAUUGACGCUUAGGCUUGAAAGUGUGGGUAGCAAAUGGGAUUAGAUACCCCAGUAGUCCACACCGUAAACGAUGGGUAUUAGAUGUUGGGACUUGUGUCUCAGUGUCGUAGCUUACGUGUUAAAUACCCCGCCUGGGUAGUACAUAUGCAAAUAUGAAACUCAAAGGAAUUGACGGGGACCUGAACAAGUGGUGGAACAUGUUGCUUAAUUCGAUAAUACACGAAAAACCUUACCAAGGUUUGACAUCCCCAGCGAAGGUAUAGAAAUAUAUUGGAGGUUAUCUGGGUGACAGGUGGUGCAUGGUUGUCGUCAGCUCGUGUCAUGAGAUGUUUGGUUAAGUCCCGCAACGAGCGCAACCCUACUUCUUAGUUGUUUGUCUAAGUUGACUGAAUCGUAAGAUAUAGGAAGGUUGGGAUCACGUCAAAUCAUCAUGCCCCUUAUGCCUUGGGCUGCAAACGUGUUACAAUGGUGAGUACAAUGUGCAGCAAACUAGCGAUAGCGAGCAAAUCACUAAAACUCAUCUCAGUCCGGAUAAAAGGCUGCAAUUCGCCUUUUUGAAUUGG